GAUGAACGCUGGCGGCGUGCCUAAUACAUGCAAGUCGAGCGAACGGACGAGAAGCUUGCUUCUCUGAUGUUAGCGGCGGACGGGUGAGUAACACGUGGAUAACCUACCUAUAAGACUGGGAUAACUUCGGGAAACCGGAGCUAAUACCGGAUAAUAUUUUGAACCGCAUGGUUCAAAAGUGAAAGACGGUCUUGCUGUCACUUAUAGGUGGAUCCGCGCUGCAUUAGCUAGUUGGUAAGGUAACGGCUUACCAAGGCAACGAUGCAUAGCCGACCUGAGAGGGGGAUCGGCCACACUGGAACUGAGACACGGUCCAGACUCCUACGGGAGGCAGCAGUAGGGAAUCUUCCGCAAUGGGCGAAAGCCUGACGGAGCAACGCCGAGUGAGUGAUGAAGGUCUUCGGAUCGUAAAACUCUGUUAUUAGGGAAGAACAUAUGUGUAAGUAACUGUGCACAUCUUGACGGUACCUAAUCAGAAAGCCACGGCUAACUACGUG
rnacentral:rRNA from 1 species